UUUGUUUACCCCAAUGACUAUACCCGCCUGAGCCACAUGGAGACCCACAAUAAAUGUUUCUACCAGGAAAACGCCUACUACCAAGACCGGUUCAGCUUUCAGGAGUACAUCAAGAUUGACCAGCCUGAGAAGCAGGGGCCGGAGCAGCCAGGUACAGAGUGACAGCUGAGGCUUCCAGGUCAGGCUGAGAGGGGCGACCAUGGUCUGUUUCCAGGGGAAGUUCAGACCAUGCCAGCCCCGCCCCUGAGGAGCUCAAGAUCCAGAUCACGUGACCUCUCCCUUCAUAACCAAGGGAGUGGAGAGCAUGACUCCUGCCUUUUCCAUAUCCAGGCACAUGUGGAAAAUGACACUAUUUUUAGCAGCAUGCUGGGGUCAGCUGGAGGAGAGUGAGAGCCCGGGGGAGGUUACUUGGACUGCUGGAGGGGCUCGCUGUCCCUGGCGCACCAUUUGGGAGGUUCUGGUUUAGAGAAGCACUGUCUUCUGGGGCCUUUCUUGGGGGAUUAGGGCGUGGCUGGGACCAUCUGCUGGGUCCCUCAGGUGCUGUGCACCUGCCGGGCAUGUGAUGCCGUUUAUCUCACUCAGUCUUCACAAACCCAUGGGAGAUGCAGUAUUAUUCCCUUUAUGCAGAUGAAGAAACUGGGGUUAGUUGAGGUUGAGUACCUUGCCCAGGGUCACACAGUAAGCGAUAGAACCUGGAUUCAACCCCAGUCUGGAGCCCCAUGGUGCGUCACACAUAUGAUCAUCCUCUGUCUUGUAUGUCUUGUUUGGAAAGGGUUGGAAACUCCUGACAUGAGGAAUGGUUGUUAUUAACAGCAGGUUUUGAGGAAAACCUUCUAGAAGAGUCCCAGUAUGGGGAAGUGGCAGAGGAGACCCCUGCCUCCAACAACCAGAAUGCCAGGAUGCUCGAGGGAAGACAGACACCUGCCUCCACCCUGGAGCAAGACGCCACUGACUACCGCCUCCGAAGCCUGCGGAAACUCCUGGCUCAGCCCCGGGAGGGCCUGCUGGCCCCCUUCUCCAAGCGGAACUCCACAGCGUCCUUCCCAGGGAGGACCAGCCACAUUCCAGCGCAGCAGCCAGAGAAGAGGAAGCAAAAACCCAGCCCUGAGCCCAGCCAAGAUUCACCUCAUUCUGACAAGUGGCCUCCUGGGCACCCUGUGAAGAACCUGCCUCAGAUGAGGGGGCCCAGGCCCAGGCCCGCUGGUGACAGCCCCAGGAAGACUCAGUGGCUGAACCAGGUGGAGUCGUACAUCGCAGAGCAGAGACGGGGUGACAGGAUGCGGCCUCAGGCCCCCGGAAGGGGCUGGCAUGGGGAGGAGGAAGUGGUGGCGGCCGCAGGCGAGGAAGGACAAGUGGAGGGAGACGAAGAGGGGGAAGAAGAGGACGAGGAAGAGGAUAUGAGUGAGGUGUUCGAGUACGUACCUGUGUUUGACCCGGUAGUAAACUGGGACCAGACCUUCAGUGCCCGGAAUCUCGACUUCCAAGCCCUGAGGACUGACUGGAUCGAUCUGAGCUGUAACACAUCUGGCAACCUGCUGCUUCCAGAGCAGGAAGCUCUGGAGGUCACGCGAGUCUUCUUGAAGAAGCUCAACCAGAGGAGCCGGGGGAGGUACCAGCUACAGCGCAUUGUGAACGUGGAAAAGCGUCAGGACCAGCUACGUGGGGGUCGCUACCUCCUGGAGCUUGAACUGUUGGAACAAGGCCAGCGCGUGGUGCGGCUCUCGGAGUAUGUGUCUACACGAGGCUGGCAGGGCAUCGAUCCAGCUGGUGGGGAGGAGGCCGAGGCCCGGAACCUGCAAGGCCUGGUCUGGGACCCACACAACCGUAGGAGACAGGUCCUGAAUACCCGGGCCCAAGAGCCCAAGCUGUGCUGGCCUCAGGGUUUCUCCUGGAGUCACCGAGCCGUGGUCCACUUCGUCGUGCCUGUGAAGAACCAGGCACGCUGGGUACAGCAAUUCAUCAAAGACAUGGAAAACCUGUCCCAGGUCACCGGUGACCCACACUUCAACAUCGUCAUCACUGACUAUAGCAGCGAGGACAUGGAUGUUGAGAUGGCGCUGAAGAGGUCCAAGCUGCGGAGCUACCAGUACGUGAAGCUAAGUGGAAACUUUGAACGCUCAGCUGGACUUCAGGCUGGCAUAGACCUCGUGAAGGACCCGCACAGCAUCAUCUUCCUCUGUGACCUCCACAUCCACUUCCCAGCUGGAGUCAUCGAUGCCAUUCGGAAGCACUGUGUGGAGGGAAAGAUGGCCUUUGCCCCCAUGGUGAUGAGGCUGCACUGUGGGGCCACCCCCCAGUGGCCUGAGGGCUACUGGGAGGUGAAUGGGUUCGGGCUGCUUGGCAUCUACAAGUCUGACCUGGACAGGAUUGGGGGCAUGAACACCAAGGAGUUCCGAGACCGCUGGGGCGGGGAAGACUGGGAGCUGCUGGACAGGAUACUCCAAGCGGGCCUGGACGUGGAGCGUCUCUCCCUCAGGAAUUUCUUCCAUCAUUUCCAUUCCAAGCGAGGCAUGUGGAGCCGCCGCCAGAUGAAGACGCUGUAGCCGGAGGGUGUCCGCUGGGCCCAGCACUCCCCGCUCUGGACUAGCAGCGGCUCCCCAGGGCCCUGCUACUGUUCAGGGAUGGGGAGUGGGGUGACGGCUGGACCCCAAGAGGCCUCGAAGCUGACGGCCCACUCCACCUGGAGCUGUCCCCUCACAGAGGCGGGUUCCGGGGCUCCUGUCUCUGCCUCCUGGGCCUUCAGAAGGGAGGACUUUGAGAGAGAGGCCAGGAGGGGCCACUUGCUCAGUCGAGCACGGGAAGAGCUCCUGAGAAGGACGGGUCGGGAAGGAGAGAUCUGACUGAGCGACACCAUCCUCAUCCACGAAGGUGCACGCCCACAUCCCCCAAGCGCUCCUCACGCCAAGCGCUGACACCAGACCCUCUUCUAGUGGACGUGUUUUAUUGGGGGGCGGGGAUUUUAAACACAGAAAACCGAAACUGCUGUCCAGAGCGGGGGUGAGGUUGUGCACUGAGGGACCGUCCCCACGUGCAGGCCUCCCGCCCACUCCUAUGUCCCUUGGGCGUUGUCCCUGGCCGCGGGGCUGGUCCCACGUGGGGCGGGUCUCUGCUCCACCCCAGGCUCGUGCCUUCCAGAGACACACAUCUCCCAGUAGCCACCAAACAGCUGGCCACUGAUUAGGGCAUUAACUUCCUCCGGAUGGCUCACGUCAGACCAGAAGCACAGAACGGGCUGUUUCUGGUGCUUGGGCAUUGGGAGGUGGGGAGCUGGCGGGCAGGGGGCUUGCCACUCCCUGGCACUGGACAUUGAGGCCUGCAGAACAGGCAGGGUGAUGAAGGCAGGGGAGAGAAGCCCUUUCCCUUCCCGGCAUGCCUGUGGGUAAGGCCUCCCGAGAGGACAUGGAGAAGAGGUAAAGAGGAUGUGGACAUAUCUGUCAAUUUCCUUAGGCAAGAAGCGGGUGGGGGCUGGACAGAAAGGGACGAAAAGGGAAGUGGAAGCUGUGAGCCUCACAGUCCAGCUCCACUGCAGACCUGCCCUUCUGCCCACCUGGCCUUGAGUGGAAGAAGAGGAAAGGGUGUAUGGGGGCAAAUCCCUGGACGGGGAGCAGGAUAAGAAGGGGGUGGGAUGAGAGGUUUGGGGAGGUGAGGACAUUGCCCUGAGAUAUCCCCUGGAAGCAGGGAGAGGAGUGGGACAGGAGGAACUGAAGAGUGGGGCAGUUUCAGGGAAAAUAGCCCUUAGCCUUUUUAGUCGACGCCACCCUUUCUGUCACCUGGUGACCUUGUACUUCUCUUGCACUAAUAACCCCGGUGCUUUUGUGGCUGGGGGUUUUUUCUAUUGCUGCUGCUGCCUCCGCCGCUGCUGUGAAUUCACCCAUGGUGCAUUGGACACUGGAUCUUGAACUCCAGAGUCUGUUUAGGGAGGUGAGCACAGGGCUGGGGGAGGUGCGGCGGGGCCCAGAAGACCAGGCCACUGAGCCCGCGCUCCAGGCUGUGACGGUCCGAACCACAGCACUGGAGCUGCAGGGUCUGCCUAGUGGGCUCUGCAUUCCCUGAGAGCACGAGUUUGGCACAUGGGAGAAUAGAGCCCGUGGAGAACCUUCUGGGGGUUUGGCGAGAAUCCCUGCCUCCCUUUAAGGAAUCAUGAAGGACAGAGACUUUUGAUAUUGUGGCUUAGGAAGGCCAUACCUGCUCCCUGGGCUGUGGCUUCUUCUGGUCCCUGCUGAGGCCGACUGGCCCCUGGAGAAGGAUCGCGGGGCAUAGGCUGGGGCUGCAGUUGGCCAGUGGGGCUGCCAGUUUCUUUCUGGGACCACUCUCGUCCUCGGGCAUUGCACUGGAAGGCUGGAACCAGCCCAAACUGCCCACCUGCUUCACUUCCAAUGACUAGGAGCCAGCCCAGCCUCCUGCCCUGCCCACACCCCUGCGCCCUGGGCCAGUGCCUUGCGUUUGAUGUUACCUCCACACCAUCUGCCUUAAGAGGAAGGGCCGGGCGAGGCCCCUACUCCCUAGAGAAAUGUCUUGGGUAGGGGAGGGUGUGGGGUGGUGGGAGGGGAAGCAUUAAAUACAGCAACUUCUUAG
rnacentral:sRNA from 1 species